rnacentral:rRNA from 1 species
UACAGAGGUCUCAAGCGUUGUUCGGAUUCAUUGGGCGUAAAGGGUGCGUAGGCGGCGUGGUAAGUCGGGUGUGAAAUCUCGGAGCUUAACUCCGAAACUGCAUUCGAUACUGCCGUGCUUGAGGACUGGAGAGGAGACUGGAAUUUACGGUGUAGCGGUGAAAUGCGUAGAUAUUGGGAAGAACACCAGUGGCGAAGGCGGUUCUCUGGGACGGUACUGACGCUGAGACGCGAAAGCGGUGGGGAGCGAACAGG